GGAUGCUUAAGGAACUUCUUUUGUAAACUAAGCUAAUAUAGGAGAUCAUAUGCACUGUUAGAAGCAUCAAAACUUCAUUCUAUUCAUCUUGAGCACAAUAUUCCUCCCAGUACAGCUUUUUCCUUGAAAGAGGAGGAGGGCAGACAGAGGCUGGGGUGAGAGGUCGGGAAGGAGAAACAACCAGAAGGAGGCUUUGUGCUGAAGGCCUCUGAACCUCUGCGCUGCCAUCUGGUGGAGAAGGGACUUGAGAGGCCAUAAAGGACAGACAACAACCGCCAUCUUUAAGAUGUCAGGAAUCUGCAGCUGGCAAAGUCAACCUGCUCCAAAUCCUUACAGACUUUUGCUAAGCUCCAUAGAGGUGGGUGUUUCAUCUGAUCUAGUCUCCCUCUCUUGCUGGCACCUAGUACUGUGUCUGGUGAAUGGUAUAUGUACAGUAAGACUUUGUGGAUUUUUUUGGUAGCACUAGGGUUUAUGAAGCUGUGCCUGAGAAAGUAUGGAAUGUUUCGUGAAUCUGCAUGUCAUCCUUGAAUACGGGCCAUGCAAUCCUUCUCUGUAUCUUUCCAGUUUUAGUACAUGUGCUGCCAAAGUGAGCCCAAGGCCUUUUUAAAGAGUUUUAUGUACCAAAUUCACUCAUUCUAAGUGCCUAAUUCAAUGAUUUUUUUAACCAGAUUUACUGAGUUGGUACAACCAAUACCAUAAUCCAGUUUUAGAAUGUUCCCCAAACUCCAAAAAGUACACUCAUGUCCAUUUGUAGUUUAUUCUCACAACACCCCCAGCCCCAGGCAACCAGUGAUCUGCUUCCAGUCUCUAUAAAUUUGCCUAUUCUGGAGAUUUCCUAGAUAUGGGAUCAUAUGAAAUACAGUUAUUUACAUGUGCCCUCUUUAAGUCAGUAUAAUGUUUCUGAGGUUUACCCACAUUGUAGCAUGAAUCAGUACAGUUUUUUAUUUCCUUUUUGUUGCUGAAUAAUACUCCCUUCUAUGCAUAUGCUAUUUUUUUAAAUUUAUUUAUGAUAGGAACACAGUGAGAGAGAGAGGCAGAGACACNUCCUUUUUGUUGCCAAAUAAUACUCCCUUCUAUGCAUAUACUAUUUUUAAUCCAUUUAUCACUUGCUAGACAUUUGAAUUGUUUCUAUUUUUUGCUGUGAAUAUUCACAUACACGCCUUAUGAACAUGAUUUCUUGCCCUCCGUUGGGUAGAUUCCUAAGAGUGAAAUUGCUGAGUUAUUUUGGGUUAUGUUUAACUUUUUAAGAAACUACCAGACUGUUUUCUGAAGUGACUGUACCAUUUUAUACUCCCAUCAGCAAUACAUGACCAAUUGUCAGUACUGCCUGUUUUUUAGUUUAUAGCCAUUUUAGUAGGUAUACAGAAGUAUAUCAUUUUGGUUUCAAUUUGCUUUUCUCUUACAGCUACCGGUGUUGAACAUUUAAUUCACAAUAAUUGUUAGCAGUUUUAAUAUCUUCA
rnacentral:lncRNA from 1 species